rnacentral:rRNA from 1 species
GAUGAACGCUGGCUACAGGCUUAACACAUGCAAGUCGAGGGGAAACGACGGGGAAGCUUGCUUCCCCGGGCGUCGACCGGCGCACGGGUGAGUAACGCGCAUCCAACCUGCCUCUGACUGAGGGAUAACCCGUCGAAAGUCGGCCUAAUACCUCAUGGUAUCGUCUGCGGGCAUCCAACGACGAUUAAAGAUUUCAUCGGUCAGGGAUGGGGAUGCGUCUGAUUAGCUUGUUGGCGGGGUAACGGCCCACCAAGGCUACGAUCAGUAGGGGUUCUGAGAGGAAGGUCCCCCACAUUGGAACUGAGACACGGUCCAAACGCCUACGGGAGGCAGCAGUGAGGAAUAUUGGUCAAUGGGCGAGAGCCUGAACCAGCCAAGUAGCGUGCAGGAAGACGGCCCUAUGGGUGGUAAACUGCUUUUAUGCGGGGAUAAAGUGAGGGACGUGUCCCUCAUUGCAGGUACCGCAUGAAUAAGGACCGGCUAAUUCUGUG